AUUGAACGCUGGCGGAAUGCUUUACACAUGCAAGUCGGGCGGCAGCGCGGGGGCAACCCUGGCGGCGAGCGGCGAACGGGUGAGUAACACAUCGGAACGUACCCUGUCGUGGGGGACAACGGAUCGAAAGAUUCGCUAAUACCGCAUACGACCUGAGGGUGAAAGCAGGGGAUUGGAAACGACCUUGCGCGAGAGGAGCGGCCGAUGUCGGAUUAGCUAGUUGGUGAGGUAAAGGCUCACCAAGGCGACGAUCCGUAGCGGGUCUGAGAGGACGACCCGCCACACUGGGACUGAGACACGGCCCAGACUCCUACGGGAGGCAGCAGUGGGGAAUUUUGGGCAAUGGGGGCAACCCUGAUCCAGCCAUUCCGCGUGAGUGAAGAAGGCCUUCGGGUUGUAAAGCUCUUUCGGCAGGAACGAAAAGGCGGGCUCUAACAUAGCCCGUCAAUGACGGUACCUGAAGAAGAAGCACCGGCUAACUACGUGCCAGCCGCCGCGGUAAAAC
rnacentral:rRNA from 1 species